UUUCUAAUGAAAAUUUCAGCUUAUCGUGAAUAAGUCCGGAAUAUAGUAAAUCGUAAAUUCAUUGCUUUGCUGAAUGUAGUUGAUUAACAAUUGGGGUAGUGAACGCUAAUCGAAGUUCGAAUGCUUAUUGUAACGUUGUAAGCUUCAUGCUAAUGAUCUCUGAAUACAUCUAUGUACACGGUUGGCGUAUCAAUUUAUUUAGACAAGUUGUCAUUGGAUGAAGUUUCACAAUCAUUAUUUAGUUUUAAUCUACAAAAUCACUUUCCCAAAAACCAUUUGGAAUAGGUUUGGGGAUGUUUAAUUUUCGAUGCCGGCCUACUUUUUGCACCAAAGGUUGAUGCUUACAAUUGGGUAAAGAGCCACCACCCAAGCGGUUUUCGUCAUUCCAAGUAGGCGCAACGCUGCUUUCUUUGACUGGACCAUGUAACUCAUAGAACUAAAACACCAAUUAGUAGGGAAAAAAGCCAAAAAUACUCUUACCUUUUGGCAAUCCGGACAUUCGUAAGCAGGAAGUGCUUUACGUUUAUUACCUCGAAUAACAUCAUCGUUUAAAAAUUCAGGCUCAAAUGGUCGCUUCUUUUCAGUCCCCUUUUUCUGGCGAUUGUCAGAUACUCCCAACGUAUUUAUGUCCAACGGAGCUAAUGGUUGUGUUUCACGUAGCAAUAUCAUGUCUUCAGGUGACCUUGCUCGUAAAUGCAUUUCACCGUCGGAACUUUCAAAGGACUCUGCGCCUAUAGGAUUUGUGUCCAAAAAUUUUUCUUCUUUCACGUUACCCAAUGGCACAGAAAUUGGUUUGACAAAUGCUGAAGCAUUUUGCACAGGAAGAGUGGGUGAAUGCGGAGGGAUUUUAACGCUUUGGUUUUUCUCUGAAAAAGGGGCAUUUAAAGAAGGGUCCUCUUCGUCCACUGUAUCACUUCCAGGAAUCUCAUCCUCGUCUGUUGUGCUAUCCAAUUCCUGAAUGGUAUUUGAACUAACUUUGGAAGACGCAGAUGAGGAUAUCUGUUUUGUUUUAACACUUUCCAACUCCUUUUCAACUUGAAUCCUCAGUUUCUUUUCCAAGACCAAUUGAGAUUUAAGUCUAGCAAUUUCGACUUCAUAUUGCUCUAGAAGGUUUCCUAACUGACGAUAAACAAUGCUCCAAUGGACCGACUUAUUGUGUUCCUCCUCAUUCAUACGCCAAUCACAAUAUUUUUACUUAAAUUAUUCUUUAAGUUGUUCAGAUGAACUUAGGGAUUACGAUUGAAACGUUGUAGGGCUGCUUGCGCCAAAACAGAAUUCUCACGAGAAUAGUAUGCUUCUGUAUACUUUGCUUCAGCGAUUUCGAGCUCCUGCAAGCGUUUCUCUCUUUCAAUAUGUAAUGAAUGAAAUACUUUAUUCGUACCGUAGUACGAAUUGAGACUAAAACUAUUACUCUCUACCCGCUUUUCAACUUUGGGUCGUUUCACCCCAAUUUCUCCUUCAGGAGUGUCUUCUUCGACGAAAUUCUCCUUUCUUUUAAUUUUGGAAAGUUUUUACACUUGAUUCGUGCUUAGAAUGGGUUUUUUUUUGUAAUUGUACCACCCAAACGUUGGUACUUUGGGUUUGGCAGAAGGUAAACCUUUGUCAGCACUCGUCAUUUGUAAACAAAAAGCGCGACGCGACUACCAUCCUAAUACGGCUUAUAUCGUUAAAUUACGCUAUUUCAAAGCAGUCACGAUUUUCGAUAUAUAAAAGAGAUAGUACCUACAAUAACAGUUCUUUAACAAUGUCAUUUGCAACCCACCGAGUCACGGACUUGGUCUUUACCAUACCGAGGAUGCAGCUGUCAAACUGCCCGUGCUAUGGGGUGCAAAGAAUAUGCGCCUGAACUCUUACGACCUGUAGCAGUACUUUAUUAUGUCGUACAGGAUGAGAGGACGGCCUACAUAGCUUUCCUUUUCAGUUAUCCUGAAUCAAUUGAAAAUCAACUUUUAGUUAUAGUUAAAAUGAGUAGGUUGAAUUUUUUUAUAGAAAAGAGUAGUUAAUAAAAGAAAAUGACGAUAAUGGAUCCAGAUGGUACAAUUUUUUAUUAUUCUUUUGUUUACGGAUGACAGU
rnacentral:lncRNA from 1 species